GGUCAAGCUACAAAGGGCACAGGGUGAAUGCCUUGGCACUGGGAGCCGACGAAAGACGUGAUAAGCUGCGAAAAGCCACGGGGAGCUGCAAAUAAGCCUUGAUCCGUGGAUAUCUGAAUGGAGCAAUCCGGCGGAUGUAACGAUCCGUCAUGGCAUACUGAAUCCAUAGGUAUGUCAGGGGAACCGCCUGAACUGAAACAUCUAAGUAGGGCGAGGAAGAGAAAUCAACCGAGAUUCCGUAAGUAGUGGCGAGCGAAAGCGGAAGAGGCCAAACCGCAUGCAGCAAUGUGUGCGGGGUUGCGGACUGCAUAAGGUAUGUUGAAGUCUAGCUGAACUGUAUGGGAAGGCAGACCGGAGAGCGUGAGAGUCGCGUAAGCGAAAGACAGAGACAGCCGGCAGGAUCCAGAGUACCGCGGGACACGUGAAACCCCGUGGGAAGCCGGGGGGACCACCCUCCAAGCCUAAAUACUCCCCAGUGACCGAUAGAGAAUAGUACUGUGAAGGAAAGGUGAAAAGCACCCCGGGAGGGGAGUGAAACAGCACCUGAAACCCUGAGCCUACAAGCACAUAGAGCACGUCAAAGUGUGAUAUGGUACCUUUUGUAGAAUGGUCCGGCGAGCGUAUGUAUGCAGCAAGGUUAAGCGCUUAAGGCGUGGAGCCGAAGGGAAACCGAGUCUGAAAUAGGGCGUGAAGUUGCAUGCAUAGGGCCCGAAACCGGGUGACCUAUCCAUGUCCAGGUUGAAGUGGGAGUAAAAUCCCAUGGAGGACCGAACCGACCUCCGUUGAAAAGGCGGCGGAUGAGGUGUGGAUAGCGGAGAAAUUCCAAUCGAACCCGGAGAUAGCUGGUUCUCCCCGAAAUAGCUUUAGGGCUAGCGUUGUAUUAGAUUACCGGAGGUAAAGCACUGAAUGGGCUAGGGGCCGAGAGGUUACUGAACCCUAUCAAACUCUGAAUGCCGGAUAAUUGAUGUACAGCAGUCAGACUACGUGAGAUAAGUCUCGUGGUCGAGAGGGAAAAAGCCCAGACCCACAGCUAAGGUCCCAAAUACACGUUAAGUGGAAAAGGAUGUGGAGUUGCACAGACAACCAGGAUGUUGGCUUAGAAGCAGCCACUCAUUAAAAGAGUGCGUAAUAGCUCACUGGUCGAGUGACUCUGCGCCGAAAAUUCAACGGGGCUAAACGUGUAACCGAAGCUUGGGAUUUCAUUCACUGAACAAUGCUUUUUGUCAGGCAGGAGGGAAAGAUUUGCUGCCGAAGGCAGCUAAAUUCUCAAAAGCAAACGAGAGAGAAAGCGUUGGUCAGUGAAUGAAAUGGUAGGGGAGCGUCGUAUACGGGGUGAAGUAUGAUCGAAAGCGCAUGUGUACUGUAUACGAGUGAGAAUGCCGGAAUGAGUAGCGAGAAAUAUGUGAGAAUCAUAUUGGCCGAAAGUCUGUGUUUCCGGAAGAAGUUCUCCGCUCCGGUUAGCCGGGAACUAAGGGGAGGCGGAAGGCGUAGCCUAUGCUCAUUACGUAAAAAACCCCGGUAGNNNNNNNNNNNNNNNNNNNNNNNNNNNNNNNNNNNNNNNNNNNNNNNNNNNNNNNNNNNNNNNNNNNNNNNNNNNNNNNNNNNNNNNNNNNNNNNNNNNNGAAACCCGGGUGUCUAAUCCAAGUUCCGGGUGAAAGUGGGAGUAAAAUCCCCAGGGAGGACCCGAACCGACUUCCGUUGAAAAGGCGGCGGGAUGAGGUGUGGAUAGCGGAGAAAAUUCCAAUCGAACCCGGAGAUAGCUGGUUCUCCCCCGAAAUAGCUUUAGGGCUAGCGUUGUAUUAGAUUUACCGGAGGUAAAGCACUGAAUGGGCUAGGGGCCGAGAGGUUACUGAACCCUAUCAAACUCUGAAUGCCGGAUAAUUGAUGUACAGCAGUCAGACUACGUGAGAUAAGUCUCGUGGUCGAGAGGGAAAAAGCCCAGACCCACAGCUAAGGUCCCAAAUACACGUUAAGUGGAAAAGGAUGUGGAGUUGCACAGACAACCAGGAUGUUGGCUUAGAAGCAGCCACUCAUUAAAAGAGUGCGUAAUAGCUCACUGGUCGAGUGACUCUGCGCCGAAAAUUCAACGGGGCUAAACGUGUAACCGAAGCUUGGGAUUUCAUUCACUGAACAAUGCUUUUUGUCAGGCAGGAGGGAAAGAUUUGCUGCCGAAGGCAGCUAAAUUCCCAAAAGCAAACGAGAGAGAAAGUAUUGGUCAGUGAAUGAAAUGGUAGGGGAGCGUCGUAUACGGGGUGAAGUAUGAGCGAAAGCGCAUGUGGACUGUAUACGAGUGAGAAUGCCGGAAUGAGUAGCGAGAAAUAUGUGAGAAUCAUAUUGGCCGAAAGUCUAAGGUUUCCGGAGGAAGGUUCGUCCGCUCCGGGUAAGCCGGGAGCUAAGGUGAGGCCGGAAGGCGUAGCCGAUGCACAUACGGUAGAGAUUCCGUAGCUGCCGGAGGAUUUAAGCAGAGGGACACUGUCAAAGGGUAUGACCCGGGCGUUGG
rfam:Anaerotruncus colihominis DSM 17241 Scfld_02_5 genomic scaffold, whole genome shotgun sequence.